rnacentral:rRNA from 1 species
CCAGGAAAGAAUUAUUCAAGCCCUUCCCAGAAGGUAUCCUUCUGGCAAGGGUACUGUACUAAACUAACUAAAGUGGGGGAUAGUGAGGGGAUAAAUUUUCUUAAGGAACUCGGCAAAAUCCCAAUGGCCCACCAGGGCAUAUUGGAACACGGGCCUCGACUGUUUACCAAAAACAUAGCCCUCGGCUAAUAUGAAAAUAGAUGUAUAGAGGGUGAUGCCUGCCCAAUGGUUGUAUCUAAAAGCGGUUGAUAAAAGUUGACCUCGUAAGGACAAUUGAAUGGCCGCGGUAACACUGACCGUGAUAAUGUAGCGUAAUCAAUAGCCAAUUAAUUGUUGGCCAGUAUGAAUGGCGCCACGAAGGCCCCACUGUCUUAAGGAAAUUCCCAGUGAAAUUGAAUUCGUAGUGAAGAUGCUACGUCCAAUUUGUUAGACGAAAAGACCCCGUUGAGCUUUACUGGAGCACUUACAUGGCCCCGGCCUUCCCAUGCCUGGGAACCGGCCGAAUUUAAAUGGGCGGCUUAGAUUAUGUGGCAGCCCCCCGCUGGGGCAAAUGAAACACCACUCCCCCAUGUCAAAGGGGCUAACCCCCCCCCUUGGGGGGACAGUGUAAGUAGGACAGUUUGGUUGGGGCGACCACCUUUUAAAAAGUAACGAAGGUGCGCUUAAGGUGCGCAAUUAAUGACUGAAGCCUGACUGCGAGGGGGACACCCCGAGCAGACACCCCAAAGCCCGCCCGAAAGGCGGCGGUGGGGUGGGCCAUAGUGACCCGUUAAUUUAGAGUGGAAUAGUUAACGAUCAACGAAUAAAAGUUACCACGGGGAUAACAGCGUAAUAUCGUUAGAGAGUUCACAUCGACGACGAUGUUUGCGACCUCGAUGUUGAAUUGCGGCAUCCUGGGGUGCAGC